rnacentral:rRNA from 1 species
UUUUAUUUGAGAGUUUGAUCCUGGCUCAGGAUGAACGCUGGCGGCGUGCCUAACACAUGCAAGUUGAGCGAUUUACUUCGGUAAAGAGCGGCGGACGGGUGAGUAACGCGUGGGUAACCUACCCUGUACACACGGAUAACAUACCGAAAGGUAUGCUAAUACGGGAUAAUAUAUUUGAGAGGCAUCUCUUGAAUAUCAAAGGUGAGCCAGUACAGGAUGGACCCGCGUCUGAUUAGCUAGUUGGUAAGGUAACGGCUUACCAAGGCGACGAUCAGUAGCCGACCUGAGAGGGUGAUCGGCCACAUUGGAACUGAGACACGGUCCAAACUCCUACGGGAGGCAGCAGUGGGGAAUAUUGCACAAUGGGCGAAAGCCUGAUGCAGCAACGCCGCGUGAGUGAUGAAGGCCUUCGGGU